AUUGAACGCUGGCGGCAGGCCUAACACAUGCAAGUCGAACGAGUGGCGGACGGGUGAGUAAUGUCUGGGAAACUGCCUGAUGGAGGGGGAUAACUACUGGAAACGGUAGCUAAUACCGCAUACCAUCAGAUGUGCCCAGAUGGGCUUGGCUUUUUGGGGGGGUAACGGCUCACCAAGGCGACGAUCCCUAGCUGGUCUGAGAGGAUGACCAGCCACAUGGGAAUGGAGAACCGGUCCAGCCUCCUAGGGGAGGAAGCAUUGGGGAAUAUUGCACAAUGGGCGCAAGCCUGAUGCAGACAUGCCGCGGGGAUGAAGAAGGCCUUCGGGCUGUAAAGUACUUUCAGCGGGGAGGCGUUACCCGCAGAAGAAGCACCGGCUAACUCCGUGCCAGCAGCCGCGGUAAUAC
rnacentral:rRNA from 1 species